AUUGAACACUGGCGGCAUGCUUUACACAUGCAAGUCGAACGGUAACAGGGAGCUUGCUCCGCUGACGAGUGGCGAACGGGUGAGUAAUGCGUCGGAACGUGCCGAGUAGUGGGGGAUAACGCAGCGAAAGUUGUGCUAAUACCGCAUACGUACUGAGGUAGAAAGUGGGGGACCUUCGGGCCUCACGCUAUUCGAGCGGCCGACGUCUGAUUAGCUAGUAGGUGAGGUAAAGGCUCACCUAGGCGACGAUCAGUAGCGGGUCUGAGAGGAUGAUCCGCCACACUGGGACUGAGACACGGCCCAGACUCCUACGGGAGGCAGCAGUGGGGAAUUUUGGACAAUGGGCGAAAGCCUGAUCCAGCCAUGCCGCGUGUCUGAAGAAGGCCUUCGGGUUGUAAAGGACUUUUGUCGGGGAGGAAAUCCCCAGCGUUAAUACCGCUGGGGGAUGACAGUACCUGAAGAAUAAGCACCGGCUAACUACGUGCCAGCAGCCGCGGUAAUAC
rnacentral:rRNA from 1 species